CCUACGGGAGGCAGCAGUGAGGAAUAUUGGUCAAUGGGCGCGAGCCUGAACCAGCCAAGUCGCGUGAGGGAUGACGGUCCUAUGGAUUGUAAACCUCUUUUGUCGGGGAGCAAAAGACGCCACGCGUGGCGUUCCGAGAGUACCCGAUGAAAAAGCAUCGGCUAACUCCGUGCCAGCAGCCGCGGUAAUACGGAGGAUGCGAGCGUUAUCCGGAUUUAUUGGGUUUAAAGGGUGCGCAGGCGGAAGAAAAAGUCAGCGGUAAAAUUGAGAGGCUCAACCUCUUCGAGCCGUUGAAACUGGUGUUCUUGAGUGAGCGAGAAGUAUGCGGAAUGCGUGGUGUAGCGGUGAAAUGCAUAGAUAUCACGCAGAACUCCGAUUGCGAAGGCAGCAUACCGGCGCUCAACUGACGCUCAUGCACGAAAGUGUGGGUAUCGAACAGGAUUAGAUACCCCUGUAGUC
rnacentral:rRNA from 1 species